rnacentral:misc_RNA from 1 species
GAGAAAGGAGGGAGGAGACCAUGGAGGAGCGUGGAGAAGCGCGUGAAGUUGGAAGGCGUUUGUUGAUUGCCUUGUCAUGUCGUAGCUGUUGUUAGUAACUGCUCUUAGACACAUUUCCACGUAUAGCUCAGUGCAGGUUUCACUGCCAAAGUUGGCACUCUCUGCCACUUUAGAUUUGAUUUAUCACGAACUGCCUCUUUGUUUUCUUUCCUUCUUUCUUUCGUUCUUCUGCUUCUUUGUAUAUAUAUACACAAUAGACACUCACUCUUAUCUCACUGCAAGAAUAGAUAUACAUAUAUGUAUGGUUGGUGUAGGAGAGAGUUGGAGAGCUGAUAAAUUUCACUUGCUCUCUGCUUUCUGGAUUUUGCCAUUUCUCUUGGCCUUCAAGAAUAACAGCAUGGUGGGAAUUGAACUCAGGCAGGAAGAAAGGAACUUUGUUGGGAGCUUGAAAGAGCAGGGAAUAUUAGACAAUAACUUUGAUCAUGUACUUGAUUUACGAAGUACAGACAAUCCUCGCUUUGUUGUGGAAGUGAUAUCCAUGUUCCUGAAUGAUGCUGACAACUGUAUAGCAGAGUUGAACCGUCACCUGAAUCAGCCUGUUAUUAACUAUGCCCAAGUUAUCAACUAUGCUCACCAGCUUAAAGGCAGUAGCUCUAGCAUCGGUGGUCGCCAGGUGAACCUUGCCUGUCGUGAGCUUCGAUAUGCUAGCGAUAAUAUGGACAGAGACAGGUGCUUUGAGGCUUUUAACAAGCUGAAGGAUGAAUACCAGAUUCUGAAGAGCAACAUAAAUAUGAUUAUCCAGAUAGAGAGAACCAUCAUUGCUAAUGAGAGCAGCAGACGCCGCCGCCUCCUCCGUCCAUAGGGUGGUGGUUUACCUUAGCCCAUUCAGGUGGUUCAUCAGAAAAUCUGGGUUGGCUUACAAAUAUAUUCUAUGAUCAUAUAAAUAAGAGUUCAUUACAACUCAAAGUUCUCCCUGUUUAAGACUGCUUUUGUUAUAUGUUGUGUUUGAAACUUUGAAUAUCAAGUACAGCUUUAUGAUCAGUGUUCUAUACCAUAGUAUCAGGGGCUGGUAUAUUACCUAAUUAAAAAUUCCUAUCAUCAUUUAAUUUAAUCAAUACAUUGAAUUUUCA